GUYUUUUUGUUAAAAAUUUAAAGUCGGGCCUGCCCACUGAAACUUUAAAUGGCCGUGGUAUUUUGACCGUGCUAAGGUAGCAUAAUCAUUAGUUUUUUAAUUGAAAGCUGGAAUGAAAGGUUUGAUAAAAAAAUGACUGUCUCUAUUUAAUUUUAUUAGAAAUUUAUUUUUAAGUUCAAAAGCUUAAUUUUUAUUAAAAGACGAGAAGACCCUAUAGAGUUUAAUAAUUUAAGGUAAUUUAUAGUUUAGAAUUAAUUCAUUUAUUUUUUAAUAUUAUUUAAUUGGGGUGAUUGAAAAAUUUAAUUAACUUUUUUUAUAUUUAACCAUUAAUUUAUGAUAAUUUGAUCCAAUUUUUUUGAUUAUAAGAUAAAAUUACCUUAGGGAUAACAGCGUAAUUUUUUUAGAAAGUUCAAAUUAAAAGAAAAGAUUGCGACCUCGAUGUUGGAUUAAAAUUAAAUUUUGGUGUAGAAGCUAAAAAUUUUAAGUCUGUUCGACUUUUAAAAUUUUACA
rnacentral:rRNA from 1 species